GCCCACGUCCUGCAUCCUGCGGCUGUGCAUUCUCAGCCACAGCAGUCACUGCAGCCCCUUUCCAGAGGAAGGCGAUUUGGACAAUGACAUCGCAGACUAAUGCAGCUAAUCCGGCCUUACCCAUGGGAAGUGGAUGAGGUCACAAGACUGGGAGAGGACUUGUUGGCUGUCAGGAGGAUGGUGAAGUCGACAUGUCAAAAAGAGCAGAGUGCGGCUGUGGGUGAAGAAAGGAGGUUGGACCAUGAGGAGCCAUCACGCUGCAGGACACUGAGGGCGAGGAGAACUCCUCUGUGAGAAAGGUGACACGAAAGCCCGAGCCCGAAGGGGAGCAGAGGGACGGCCGCCGGCC
rnacentral:lncRNA from 1 species